AUUGAACGCUGGCGGUAGGCUUAACACAUGCAAGUCGUGCGAGAAAGUAUCUUCGGAUAUGAGUAGAGCGGCGGACGGGUGAGUAACGCGUAGGAAUCUACCUAGUAGAAGGGGAUAGCCCGGGGAAACCCGGAUUAAUACCGUAUACCUCCUUCGGGAGAAAGGAGGCCUCUCUUUGAAGCUUUCGCUAUUAGAUGAGCCUGCGUAAGAUUAGCUUGUUGGUGAGGUAAAGGCUCACCAAGGCAACGAUCUUUAGCUGGUCUGAGAGGACGAUCAGCCACAUUGGGACUGAGACACGGCCCAGACUCCUACGGGAGGCAGCAGUGGGGAAUAUUGGACAAUGGGCGCAAGCCUGAUCCAGCCAUACCGCGUGUGUGAAGAAGGCCUUCGGGUUGUAAAGCACUUUAAGCAGGGAGAAAAAGUUAUAAGUUAAUACCUUAUAACCGUGAUGUUACCUGCAGAAUAAGCACCGGCUAAUUCCGUG
rnacentral:rRNA from 1 species